GUCGAACGGCAGCACGGGAGCAAUCCUGGUGGCGAGUGGCGAACGGGUGAGUAAUAUAUCGGAACGUGCCCAAUCGUGGGGGAUAACGCAGCGAAAGCUGUGCUAAUACCGCAUACGAUCUAUGGAUGAAAGCGGGGGAUCGCAAGACCUCGCGCGAAUGGAGCGGCCGAUAUCAGAUUAGCUAGUUGGUGGGGUAAAAGCUCACCAAGGCGACGAUCUGUAGCUGGUCUGAGAGGACGACCAGCCACACUGGAACUGAGACACGGUCCAGACUCCUACGGGAGGCAGCAGUGGGGAAUUUUGGACAAUGGGCGAAAGCCUGAUCCAGCAAUGCCGCGUGCAGGAUGAAGGCCUUCGGGUUGUAAACUGCUUUUGUACGGAGCGAAACGGUUAUCUCUAAUAAAGAUGGCUAAUGACGGUACCGUAAGAAUAAGCACCGGCUAACUACGUGCCAGCAGCCGCGGUAAUACGUAGGGUGCGAGCGUUAAUCGGAAUUACUGGGCGUAAAGCGUGCGCAGGCGGUUUUGUAAGACAGAGGUGAAAUCCCCGGGCUCAACCUGGGAACUGCCUUUGUGACUGCAAAGCUAGAGUACGGUAGAGGGGGAUGGAAUUCCGCGUGUAGCAGUGAAAUGCGUAGAUAUGCGGAGGAACACCGAUGGCGAAGGCAAUCCCCUGGGCCUGUACUGACGCUCAUGCACGAAAGCGUGGGGAGCAAACAGGAUUAGAUACCCUGGUAGUCCACGCCCUAAACGAUGUCAACUGGUUGUUGGGAAUUAACUUUCUCAGUAACGAAGCUAACG
rnacentral:rRNA from 1 species